UCUUUGUCUCUUGCUGGCGCUGGCACAGGAACUUGGGAUCCGUCUCCUCUUUCGCCUCCUCCGCUUUGGGAGCCCCGGGCUACUCUUUCACAGCCCCUGUUGCCCUGUGAUCUGUAGGUCCUUGGGGACGCACAGUUAAGAUGACAGGACAUCCUGGAAGCUGGGAAAUGGCAUCAUAGCUGGGAAACGGAUUCACAAGACCCAGGCUGUUCCCUACAUAUGUUUCCUCCUCCGACAUCAGUUCAUCAGUCAAUCAAGCCAUGUGAGAGUGGAGGCCUUGUAUUCCCUAUUAUUCUUGGGCACUCUACUCCAAGUAGGAAAAGGCCAGGAGGUCCUGUUAAAGGAUGCACUCAGAGCCCGGGCUCCCUAACAUAUGAGAGUGCUAACCAGCAGGUGUAGACUUUUCAGGAGUGAAGAAUGAGGCAGGCAUUCCAAACCUGGACCUUCAUCACCUUUUGUUUCAUCUCAAGACAAUUCUGAGGGACUGUUUUGGAGCGUGUCUGGAAGGUGAACCUUGAAGAAGAGUGUGGGCUUUGAUGUGACUCAGUUGAGAUCUUUCAUGGGGAGGCAGGAAUUCAAUGCCCAGAAUCUGGGCUGGUGUCUUUGAGGUCAGUAGGUUGCGUCUUUGUAUCCAAGUCCAUUGUUACUAGGUUGGAGGCUGGAGAUUCUAAAUGGCUUCCAGACCAUCUCUCUGAUUCUCUUUGGGAGAUGGGGUCUGAAAGACAAUGUCAGUAGUUUUGGGAAAUUCUAGAAAGUGUGCUUGGAAACGUGGGAAGAGCUCUUGCCUAGUGCCUAAAUGCUCCAUUUGCAGCUCUAGCCAAGUAGAUACUUGGUA
rnacentral:lncRNA from 1 species